GACGAACGCUGGCGGCGUGCCUAAUACAUGCAAGUUGAACGCUUUUUCUUUCACCGGAGCUUGCUCCACCGAAAGAAAAGGAGUGGCGAACGGGUGAGUAACACGUGGGUAACCUGCCCAUCAGAAGGGGAUAACACUUGGAAACAGGUGCUAAUACCGUAUAACAAUAGAAACCGCAUGGUUUCUAUUUGAAAGGCGCUUUUGCGUCACUGAUGGAUGGACCCGCGGUGCAUUAGCUAGUUGGUGAGGUAACGGCUCACCAAGGCAACGAUGCAUAGCCGACCUGAGAGGGUGAUCGGCCACAUUGGGACUGAGACACGGCCCAAACUCCUACGGGAGGCAGCAGUAGGGAAUCUUCGGCAAUGGACGAAAGUCUGACCGAGCAACGCCGCGUGAGUGAAGAAGGUUUUCGGAUCGUAAAACUCUGUUGUUAGAGAAGAACAAGGAUGAGAGUAAAAAGUUCAUCCCUUGACGGUAUCUAACCAGAAAGCCACGGCUAACUACGUGCCAGCAGCCGCGGUAAAAC
rnacentral:rRNA from 1 species